GACGAACGCUGGCGGCGUGCUUAACACAUGCAAGUCGAACGAAGAGCGAUGGAAGCUUGCUUCUAUCAAUCUUAGUGGCGAACGGGUGAGUAACGCGUAAUCAACCUGCCCUUCAGAGGGGGACAACAGUUGGAAACGACUGCUAAUACCGCAUACGAUCUAAUCUCGGCAUCGAGGAUAGAUGAAAGGUGGCCUCUACAUGUAAGCUAUCACUGAAGGAGGGGAUUGCGUCUGAUUAGCUAGUUGGAGGGGUAACGGCCCACCAAGGCGAUGAUCAGUAGCCGGUCUGAGAGGAUGAACGGCCACAUUGGGACUGAGACACGGCCCAGACUCCUACGGGAGGCAGCAGUGGGGAAUCUUCCGCAAUGGACGAAAGUCUGACGGAGCAACGCCGCGUGAGUGAUGACGGCCUUCGGGUUGUAAAGCUCUGUUAAUCGGGACGAAAGGCCUUCUUGCGAAGAGUGAGAAGGAUUGACGGUACCGGAAUAGAAAGCCACGGCUAACUACGU
rnacentral:rRNA from 1 species